rnacentral:lncRNA from 1 species
GCCUCUUGCGGUGAGGAUUCGUGGAUGACGGCGGAUUCCGGUGGUGGCAGUGGCGGUUCCAGUGAGCGGCGGCGGCUACAUGCUUCAAUUCCUCCGCUGCUUUCCUCUUCAAUCCCUAGCCGCUUGUUUUUUCUUUUCGCCAAGAGCCCUCCUAUUUCCCUUAGCUUCCCCUCUGUUUUUCUUGCCUUUCCGUUGGUUUUUCUGGUUUUUUCUCCUCUGCUCUUCUCAGCCGUCGCCUGGUUCCUUCCUGUUUCUUCCUUCUUCCCUUUUCCUUUGAAACCUUCCCUCUUUGAUUUUUGUUUUUGCUUCCCAGCCACCCC